AGUGAACGCUGGCGGUAGGCCUAACACAUGCAAGUCGAACGGCAGCACAGUAAGAGCUUGCUCUUACGGGUGGCGAGUGGCGGACGGGUGAGGAAUACAUCGGAAUCUACUUUUUCGUGGGGGAUAACGUAGGGAAACUUACGCUAAUACCGCAUACGACCUACGGGUGAAAGCAGGGGAUCUUCGGACCUUGUGCGAUUGAAUGAGCCGAUGUCGGAUUAGCUAGUUGGGGGGGUAAAGGCCCACCAGGGCGGCGAUCCGUAGCUGGUGUGAGAGGAUGGUCGGCGACACUGGAGGGUGGACACGGACAAGAGUCCUACGGGACGGAGCAGUGGGGAAUAGUGGACAGUAGGGGGAAGUCUGAUCCAACCAUACCGAGUGUGUGAAGGAGGCCUUCCGUUUGUGAAGACCUUUUGUUGGGUGAGAAAAGCAUCAGGUUAAUACGCAGCGGUUCUGACGGUACCCAAAGAAUAAGCACCGGCUAACUUCGUG
rnacentral:rRNA from 1 species